UACAGAGGUCCCAAGCGUUGUUCGGAUUCAUUGGGCGUAAAGGGUGCGUAGGCGGCGCGGUAAGUCGGGUGUGAAAUCUCGGAGCUUAACUCCGAAACUGCAUUCGAUACUGCCGUGCUUGAGGACUGGAGAGGAGACUGGAAUUUACGGUGUAGCGGUGAAAUGCGUAGAUAUCGUAAGGAAGACCAGUGGCGAAGGCGGGUCUCUGGACUGGUAUUGACGCUGAGGUGCGAAAGCGUGGGGAGCAAACAGG
rnacentral:rRNA from 1 species